rnacentral:rRNA from 1 species
GUUAGGAAUAUUGGACAAUGGGCGAAAGCCUGAUCCAGCCAUGCCGCGUGAACGAUGAAGGCCUUCGGGUUGUAAAGUUCUUUAGCCGAUGAUUAUAAUGACUGUAGUCGGAAAAUAAGCCCCGGCUAACUUCGUGCCAGCUGCCGCGGUAAUACGAAGGGGGCGAGCGUUAUUCGGAAUCACUGGGCGUAAAGCGUGCGUAGGCGGUCUUGUAAGUUAGGAGUGAAAGCCCAGGGCUCAACCUUGGAAUUGCUCUUAAAACUGCAAGGCUCGAAUCUCGGAGAGGAUAGCGGAAUUUCCAGUGUAGCAGUGAAAUGCGUAGAUAUUGGAAGGAACACCAGUGGCGUAAGCGGCUAUCUGGACGAGUAUUGACGCUGAGGCACGAAAGCGUGGGGAUCAAACAGGAUUAGAUACCCUUGUAGUCC